GCUGACUAAAUAGCCUUCUUGACUUUAACGAUGCUUCUAUAACCUAUUUCACGGCAAAACAAAAUCAUUACAAAGCCACAAGGACAAGAAAUAGAAUAGGAUUGAGUAUGGAAAAGUUGCUGUCUACCAGGGUUUUCAGGAAGCGUCCGUCCUCACUAUAGUCGCACGUUCCUAACUCCUAAGGUCAGCACGAUAGGGCGCAGAGCACUUAAGACCGGGGGCAGAGUGGUCUCUUCAAAGUUGAACAUGUGACUAUGGGGGGCAGUUUCCCCAGACCGAGCCUAGGAGGACACAGAGAACAGGGAACAUUGGAUAUGACCAUAGAUAGGACCAUCUUCCAGCCCUGAAGCCAUUUACACCUGGAAAUGUUUGUGGUGGGAUGGAAGAGGUAACGAUCGUGAGGAUGAUGCUUCCCAUCUGCGGAACAUUUUACAUUGUCCCAAACACUUUUAUAUACGUUAUUUGACUGUCAUGUCUUUCCUGUGAGAUGGACUCGAUUGGGAAAAUAAACUUCACAGUGUAUAAGGGACUUGCUCAGGGCCACAUGGCUGGUCUGAGCCAGGACUAGAACCCUUGGGCUUCCUGCCUCGGUCCUCUUCCUGCAACCCACACAACGACCUUCCGCAUCAUCCAUCCCACGGACCCCUUCCGCUACUCCAGUCACAUGGCACAUCAUGGUCAAAAGUGCAUGCUUUAGUUUUCAUUGCCGUGCCAAGUUGUGGUCCGCAAAACCCUUCCAGCCUGCUUCCAUGGCUUUCCUUACAAACUGUGGUGCCCAAGGUAUUUGUGCCAAUUUUUUCCAUGAGGGCAGUCUGUCAGAAAAUUUGCUUCCUGAAGCUUCAUAUCCCUGAAACAACAUCUGCCCAAAUCGGCAUGUGGUUUACCACGACUGCCAGCAUCAUUAUAGCCUCUCAGCUAACGAUGCAGGAUUAUACAAGUCUAUGGGGACAGAAGACAGCUGGUGGGAGAGACGCAUUCAAAGCCAACACAGCUGGCUUGCCAACUGACUAGUAAAUCUCGAGCUGUGUGAUUGUGGGCAACUUUAAACUUUUUUAUCUGUUAUAAACGUUGUAUCAAACGAGACGGAGCACAAGAAAGUAUUUUUGCAAACCAUAAAAUAUUAUAUAAAAUUUAGUUACCACUAUUUCAUUUCCUACAUGUGCAUGACCCACUUUGCCAAUUAUCCAUGGAAAACUGGGUCACUGCAGCAUCCCUGAAUUGGCAUGCUUCUUGUUGCCUGACCCUUUUUCCAGAUGGCACUCUCAGGUGACACGGAACAGGGUUCCAGCUUGAACCUACUGUGGGCUUCAGAUAGGACAGCAUGUCUGGGAGGACACCUGCCAGACGCCUAUUUGCAUGAGGAACUGAGACACCACCUGGGGAAAAGCUCACACUAAGAGAAAGAGGAGUCUGGCUUGCGGACCCCGAGGCAGGAAUAAAUCAUGUCUUCACGGCCCAUGGGGAGAGAGGGAGUUUUAGACCCUGUGAUGCCCAAUGCUUAGUUAGAUCUAUCUCUGUGCCCAACUGCUCACGUGAAUCCUAUGAAAAGCAGGGGUCGGGGAUGGAGGGGUUUUUGGGAACAAUGAGAAAUAAAAUGGAAAGCUCUGUUUUCCUAAGAACUCUCUGGGACCCAAGGUACACUGAGGGCCUCUCCCCUUGCCCUCUCCACCCAACACAUUACAACAGAACUCCCUGAGGUCACAAUGGCUCAGUGGCUGGAGGCUGGAAGACCGGGUGGCUCACUAUGUUCAGGAUCAUACAUGGAGUGUGCUCUAGCAUCUCUGGAAAUAUUUAGGGCACUUUGUAGGAAGUUGAGGUCCUGAGUGAGCAGCUGUGAGAAAAGUCAGUGAAUUUGGAUUAUUUGGGUUAAAUACUCCAAAUGCACUUACAGGUUGUAUUACAGGCUGGAUGAGCUUGACUAGAAUAACACUAGUCUCGUUUGCUGGCAUCUCAGAGGUCAAUGUUGUUUCAAAGGAGCAAAUACAGCGAGGUUACUUCAACCACUAUUUCGUGAGCGCCUAUUAUGUGCCUGGUCCUGUCUCGGCCCUGCAGAUACAUAAAGCAGGCAGACAUCACGUCUGCUCCUGAAGACCUUGCAGUCUACUAGGCAGAGUCCUGACUAAUACACCUGUGUUCCACUGACUUCCACGAAGACACGCCGUGGCUCAGACUCACUGAGGCUCCAGUCUGUACGGCGGUGAGCUCUUCACAAUGAUUGUCCCAGAGUCAGACACCUGGCAGAGCAAUUAGGAGUCAUGAUAGAGGUAAUUUAAUCUCAGUAAUUGUGCGGGUUUUCUGUGCACCUCUUUGCCAUUCUAAGACAGCCACAUUGUAUUUAAGGGAUGAGCUGAAGAUCUCAUAUGAUUCAAAAUUCACGUAAUUCGAGAACAAUCCUGACCAAGGAUGAUGACUACUUCUACUUAUCAGCUAAAAUGCAAUGAGCAUUGUUCACAAUUAUUAAGCCCACUACUUUGAAACGACGGUUCUUGACAAAUUGUUACUUUGGGGGGAUUCACAUUACUCCAUAUUUUGUGUAUGCAGAGUGACUGUACUAAUUUCUAAUAGUACACUGCUGCAAAGUCACAUAAAACGUACACAUAGCAUUCCCCAACAGCUCAUUAAGAUUAAUGGCCAUUGUUGUUCUUGGUUUGUGCCUCACGAAAACAUUACUAUUAAGCAAAAAAAAAAACAAACAAAGACGACACUCUCUUGAUCCUUUGAUCUUGGAUUAUAUUUUAUAAGAUAUCUAGGAGUUAUAUAAUGUCAAUAUAAAAAUUUUAUUAUAUAUUUGCUAAAUAACUACUAGUUAGAUUAUAUUCAUGUGAGAUAAUAGAAAAUAUAUAUUGGUCUCUGCCCCUGGUUCCUGCACUGAGCUCCUGAAAUCUUUGUAAUUUCCUAAGCCAUAAGAGUACUAGGAACAUCUUUUGUUCUAAUAUUUGGUCUUUGACUCUCAUUUCUGAUGCAGGGUUUUUGAAACCCUUGGAGUUUCCUGGGGGAUAGCAGUGUCUUUAGUUCUAAUGAGGUGACUCUGGGUAGGAUCCUGGAUGGCUCCCGGAUGACGGUUGGUUGCCAGAAAGACCAAGCCAGGAUUAGAAGCCUGGAAUUUUCAGCCCUGUGCUCCUAUUCUCUUGAGAAGGGAGAAGAGCUGAAAAUGGAGUUAAUGAUUGAUCAUGCCUAUGUGAGGAAGCCUCCAUAAAAAUCCCAGUAGUAAGAGGUUUGGAGAGCUUCCAGGUGGGUGAACACAUCCACAUCGGGAGGGUGAGGCACCCCAACUCCAUGGGGACAGAAUUUCCUGCACUCAAGACCCUCCCAGACCUGCUCUAUGUAUCUUUUCAUCUGGCUGUUCAUCUGUAUCCUUGAUCAUGUCCUUUAAUAAACUGGUAAAUGUAACUAAGAGUUUCCCUGAGUUCUAUGAGCUGCUCUAGCUAACUAAUCAAACUCGAGGAGAGGGCUGUGGGAAUCAUGGACUCAUGGCCCAAUUGGUCAGAUGCACAGGUGACAACCUGGACUUGCGAUUGGCCUCUGGAGCGGAGUGGGAGCCCUCUUGCAGGACUGAGCCCCUACCUGUGGGCUCUGAUGCUCUCUCUGGGUAGACAAUGUCAGAGUUGAGUUUAAUUGUAAGACACCCAGCUGGUGCUGCAGAGAAUUGCUUGGUGGGAAAAAACCCACACAUCUGAGGUCAGAAGUGCUGUGAGUGAGGUAGGAGUGUGAUGGUAAAGGGAAACAGGAGGAAAAGUGAGUUUUUCUAAUACAAUUCAUACAAAGUUAAAACCAGUCUUGUCUGAUAUUUUAAAAUAUCAAAAAAACAUAUAGGUGAGGUAAGAUGUAUGAGGUGGCAAAGAAUAUAGAUUUGGGAGGCCGACUGCAUUUCAUUCUUGUAUUCUUAUUUUAAUUCUGAGCAAGUGGCUUGAAAUAGUAAAAAGUAUCGCAAAUACUGAGGCCAAAACCUCUGAAUUUUACUGCAUCCUGAGGCACUUCUGCCUCUUCCCUUUCUUCCCCGUGGAGGAGAGACCUCAGACCCAGGGCUCCCCCUGCGCUCCAGUUCUCGUCCCCUCCCACCUCCUCGGGAACUUGUACCACUCGGGUAUCUGCUCUUCAUCCCACAUCUUCUACUCUCCCCUCCCCCAGUUCUGGCCAAUUAGCACUUAGACAAGUUCAGAUCUCUCCCAUCUUAAAACAACCACCUAAACAAAAACCUUCCUCAUCUCUACAUCACCUCCCACCUCCUUCCACAACUAUUCCUCAGUCUUCUCCCCCUCACCUGAGAAUCUGGAAACAGAUUUUUACAUUGUGCCUUCUUCCCUGUUUCCUGCACUGUGGUUUCUGCCCCGCUACUCUGCCCAAAGCCCCCAGGGACUUCUGUGUGCUGUAUCCAGUGAACACUUGACACCCAAUGGUCCUUAUUUCGCAUGUGCUCUCUGCAGAUCUGGACAAUGGUGACUGCUGCCCCUUGCUGAAACACUCUUUCCUUGUUUUCUUUACACUUCAUCUUUCUGGUUCUCCUUGAUGCCCAGUCUUUCUCAGUUUCCUCUGCAGAUUCUUCUUCUUGUACCUGGCCCUUAUGUAUCGAGUCUUCCAGGGCUUUUUCUAAGAUGCUCUGCUCUUCUUCCUGAUACUGGCCCACGGUCACUUCAUCCAUUCCUGUAGCAUCAGCCACCACAAACACAGGAUAACUCCCAAAUCUCUCCCUUCACCCACACAUCUCUCCUCUGCCAGAGACGUCUAAGCACCUUCUCACACCUCCUCCUGGGAGCCCCAGAGUACCACAAACACAACAUAAAAAUAAGUCAUCAUUGUCAUCUCCCUAUCCUGCUACCCCCUAAAAAGCCCCAACCCUCCCUCUCUUUCUUCCGAAUUUCUUAUCACCAUCUGUGCAAUUGCCCAAAACAAAAAACUGAAAUCAUCCAGGGACUUUUUUAAGGAUUUGAGUUCAGCUGGGCCUAUGGAACCUCAAAGUACAUGGGCCAAACGAGGCCCUGGCCACUCAAAGACAGUCUUCAAACCCUCAGCUCUCAUUGGGUCCUCCAGGAUGGGGAUGCACUACAAAAAGAUUUUAGGCAGGAUACUGGGGUCAAGAUCAGCCCCACUCCUUCCUCCAGCUGCAGAGACAGGAGAGCCAGAAACGAAGUGAGGUCUCUGUCCUUUUCAACGUUUAAGUCUCUCUCCGCUACAUCCUUCAAAUGGGAGGCAACUGCUGCCACCCUGUGGCAACAUGGAGGCACUGCAGCUCCUAUACGCAGGCCAAGGGUGGGCUAAGCAAAGGCUCCUUAGAUCUGCCCCUUCAAACAGACAUUAUCUUACAAAGGACUCUUUUUCUACUUGAUAUUUGUUAAGAAAAUAGUAUCGGUUCUCUUUAUUUUGAAAUGAAAAAAGCGAGGUCCAAAAGUCAGUAUUAUAAAAAAGAAUUUGGGUAUUUUUAUGUUUGGCAAUAUAGGUUUAAAAUUUUUUCAGACAUUUAUAAAUAUCUACUCAGUGGCUCGAUAUCUGGUGUCACCACAGUGCUAGAUACCUGCUGGCCUAGAAGUGUGGGGAAAAUGAACCCGGGGCACUGGAACGACUAUUUGACCCGAAGCUGUUAACAUUCCGAAAACUAAAGCACAUUUUCUGGUUGGAUUCAUCCAAGGCCAACAUGAGUGCCAGUUGGCAGAGCCUGUUCUGACUCCCAAGAGUCUCUAUCCCAUGGCAAACGGCUCUCUGAACCAACCCCUUGGACAGCUGGUGGCUUUAUUUGUUUCCAGGGAUAAUAUAACAACAGUAGCCAUUUGGCUAUGUCAUAGGGGCCAAUGAGCAACUUUGGGCUCAGGGGAAGAUGGCGCUGCUGAAAUACAGGUGUCUGGAAGCGUAUCUGCACUGUGCUGCUAACUGGCCGGGUAAUCAAAAACAAUACCGGGGAAAGCUACCAAGGACUGAAAUUGUGUUGUCGAUAAUCCACCAAGCGAGAGGAGGGGCCAAGCCUGCAAUUCGGUUACCAACAGCACCCCCUUACUGCACACGAGAGAGCGGGCCAGAAGCCCCACUUGAUACAUGAGAAAACUAAGGCUCAGAGAAGUUGCCAAGAUCAUGCACAGCUAAUAAAUAGUAUGGCCGAGACUCAACCCUGGGUCUCCUUGCCAUCAAAGCAACGUUUCCUCUCUAUAAAUCAAGUUGGUCCCUAUUUGUCUUUACUUUGUGUUUCUGUUUUGCUUUGGGCUAAGAAUUUAUACUUUGAAAGAUGCUCUUAAGUCAUAUUUAAGGUGCCUAUGAAGAAGUAAAAAAUAACCCCCGAUCCUCCCUGGAUGUUUUUGGCAAAUGCUUCCUCCGCAGUGACCGCUUAGAGCAAUCAACAGGCAGGAGGCUGGCCACCAGGUUUCAGGAAUCCUCUGAUAGGCAGGACUUCCAGUCUAGUCGGCCCCCUGCUGGUUUCGUUCCAGAACUGCAAAAAGUCAGUUCUCAAUAGGCAGCUGUACCAAGGGCACAGACCUUGCCCCACGGGGAUCACAGUCAAAGGAAAUAGACGUUUUGCUGAGCACACGUCACUGAGCUCUUGGCAAAAACUUCUAGGUAGAUUUUUUUAAAGUACAGAAUAGAAAUGGAAUAUUUUCCUUGAACUGAAAAGAGUCUCAACAGCUCUGGAUGUCAUAUAGUGCUUACAUACCUAUUGUCUCCAGAUACAUUUACUUUUCCCUGAGAUUAUAUGUUCAUUCUUCAAAUAUGUACUAAGUGCCUACUAUGUGUCUUGGAAUAAAUCAGUAAAUAAAACAGACAUAGCCUCGUGGAGCUUAGAUUCCAGUGGGGAGGCAGACAAUAAGCAAGGAAACAAAUAUUAAACAUAAAUUACAAAAAAUGCUAUGGAGCUUAAAAAAACAAAAGGACACUGUGACAGAGAAUGGGGCUCCUCAGAUAGGGCAGUCAGGGCAGGCCUCUCUGAGGAGGUGAUUUGAAACUGAGACCUGAAGAGGAGGAUACAGCUACCCAGAGUGGGAAGGACAAGCCGUGUGAAAGACAGGAGGUAGGAAGAGACUGGUGUGACCCAGGGUGACUGAAGGACCGAAGGGAGGCCAGGGUGGGUGAGAAAGGAAGCGGGAGGGCAUACAGGGGACAUGAUCCUUCCAGGUCGUGGCAAGAAGUAUUAUUUUUAUCUAGGUGCAAUGGGAAGCCACUGACUGAAUUUUAACCAUGGGAUUGACAUUGAUCUGACUUAUUUAUUUUUAAAUUUUAACUCCGCCUUUCCCACAGAAAACAAUUUGAAGGAAAGCAAGAGUAGAAGCAGGAAGACCAGUGAGCUGACAAUCUUAGAAAUCCAUGCCCGACUCCACGGCAUCUUGGAGAAGGGUGUUUGGAAUGGGACUAAAGAGAAGAGAGGACAGGCAAACGACAGAUGUAUUUUAGAAACAGAAAUGAAAUAAAUUGCUUAUAAUUUUGGUUUGAUCUGUGAUGGAGAAAAUCAAGGAUGACUUCCAGGUUUUUAGCUUGCAUGUAUGGCCAAGUGAUGGCACUGGUCAUUCAGAUAGAAAAGAUUGAUAUAAACAGGUUGAGGAAGGUGGUGGCAGAGAAAUUACGAUUGGCACAUGGUAAUAAAGCAAUCCAUUAAGCCUAUAGAUACACAAGAAAGAAGUUUGGCUUGAAAAUACAAAUAUUGGAGAUAUCAGCCAAGAAAUGGUAUUUGGAGUCAAGACAAUGAAUGAGGUCAUCUAGAGGGAGAAUUGAGAAGAAUAAGAGAAGUGGAUCCAGCACUGAGCCCUGGAGAACUCAAGAAUUAAAGUCUGGACUAGGGGAACAGGAGGAACCUGCAGACAAAACUGUGAAGAAAUGGUUAAAGCAAAAAGGGAAAUGAGGAAAGCCCAAAGUGUGCCAUUUCGGCAUGUCUCGACACCUCGGCCCCAAAACCAAGAAACCAACGAAAAGGGUUUUAAGCAGGGCAUGGUCAAGUGUGCGGAAUGCUGCAGAGGGUGAGUAGGAUGAAGGCAGAAUGUGGUGAAUUUGGCAUGGAAGUUGUUGGCCUUGACAAGAACAGUCCAAAAGGCAUCUCAAAAUUAACAUGCACAAAACCGAACUUGAGAUCUUCCCCUGAAGAUCGUCAGUUUGCUCCUCUUCUAGAAAACUGUUCCUCUCCAGUUCCUCAGGCCAAAACCUUGGUGUCACCCUCAAUUCUCUCUUUCUUUCAGUUCCUACCUCCAACACACCAGCAAAUCCUGUUGGCCCUAACAUCAAAAUAUAUCCACAAUCUGCCCAUGUCUGACCACUUCUCUAGCUAUCAUGCUUGUUCACAUCUCACCUGAAUGAUGACAAUAGCCUCCUAUCUAAUCUCCCUGACUCCAGGCCUCCCUCCCGACAGGAAUGUUUCCAACCCAGCAGUUGGAGGGAUCCUUUUUGAAGCAAGGCUGAACACAUCACUCUGUACAAAGACUCCAACGGCUUCAGACACACAUUCAGAAGAAAAGCCAAAGUCAUUACAGGACCAUACGACUCUAUGAUGCAAUCUGUCUCCACGCACUCAACCUCCUACCCCGCUUCCUGCCAUUACCCCAGUCUCAUCUCCUACUCUCCUGAGUCUUGGGCUUCCCCACACUGGCUCCUUGCCCCACUGUACGGCUUCUGCACUCGCAUUGUCUCUGCCUGGAACCUCUUCAAACAUCACACAGCUCACUCUCUCAGCCCUCAGAUUUUUGCUUACCUUCCCAGUGAGGAGUCCCCUACCCCUAUUUCAGUUCUUUCCUCCAUCCCCCUCCUCUGCUUUACAUUUUUACAGUACUUACAGCCAUUUGACAUAUAUUUUACUUAUCCGUUUAUUUAGAGACUAUGUCUCCUGUGCCCCGCCACUCUUCGAGGUUCAUGUUUAUUUCCUCAGUACCUGAACCAGCACCUGGCAUUCAAGAAAUACUUGUUGACCUGGAAAGUGAGUGGUGGGAACAGUGGACAACAAUGGACCAGGACAGAACGGGAGCCUCCAGCUCAAGGAUUUCAGCAGGAUGCCCUCCCCCACUCCCAAUCCCGAAGAAAAACCCGCUUGUCUCGGGCGGCAUCAGGAGGUCGAGCGGGCAUCAGCGCAGGACUCACCGAGGGGCAGCCGGAG